CUUGCGCAAUGGGCGAAAGCUUGACGCAGCGACGCCGCGUGGGGGAUGGACGGGUUUCCGACUUGUAAACCCCUGUUAGCCCGGGACGAACUUCUCCUUUNGAGGAGAUUGACGGUACCGGGUGAGGAAGCACCGGCUAACUCUGUGCCAGCAGCCGCGGUAAUACAGAGGGUGCGAGCGUUGUCCGGAAUCACUGGGCGUAAAGGGCGCGUAGGUGGCGGGCCAAGUCAGUGGUGAAAGCUCGAUGCUCAACAUCGAGUCGGCCACUGAGACUGGCUGGCUGGAGCACUGUAGGGGCAGAUGGAAUUCCGGGUGUAGCGGUGGAAUGCGUAGAGAUCCGGAAGAACACCGGUGGCGAAGGCGGCAUCCUGGACCAUUACUGACGCUGAGGAGCGAAAGCCAGGGGAGCAAACAGGAUUAGAUACCCUGGUAGUCCUAGCCGUAAACGAUGGGCGCUAGGUGUGGGCGGAUAUCGACCCCUCCUGCCGAAGCUAACGCAU
rnacentral:rRNA from 1 species